AUAUGGACAGAACGUUUUAGAAAGUAGCAAGUUGGAGUAAUGUAACAAACUAUAACAAAACAACUCUACAACACUUUUAAAUUCGAUAUGUGUUUAUAACAUAUUAAAACGCGAAAAAUGGAAGUACAUUAAAUAGGACAGCGAGAUUUUUAUUUUUCUUUAUUCAUCGUUAUAUGUUUUCUUUUCACAACCAAGAACACACUUUACAGUUCUCAUCUAGAAAAUCAUGUGUUGAGUAAUCUAUUAAAAAUUUCACAACUCUUCGACACAAAAUUUUUUUAUACCUAAAAAAUCAAUGAUAAAUGACCGUAAAAGAAUUACCUGCUUUUCCUUUUCUUUGAAACUAACUCUCGUUUCAUAUAGUCAAUUUUGUUACCUCGUUACACUCACGUGCUAUAGUGAGAAAUAUUUAAAGUAAGUAAAUAAAACAGCUAGAGAAACAUUAAUGGAGUAGUAAUUUUCGAAAAACGAUAUAGAAAUUAGACCAAAGAAUGAAUUA